UUGGCCAACACCCCCACCAACCCCAUCCCCUCCAACUCCUCCAACGCCGCCCGGUCGUAAGCGAAGGCGGCCAAAGCCAACAGCACCCUUGGGUGCCAACCCCGAGCUUUUGGGUCCCCCAAGAGGGUCACCAGGGUCCCCAACCCCCCUGCCGCCCUCACCUUGGCCCGGUUGACGGCUUCACGGCACAGAAGGCAAAGAGCCCGCAAUGCCGGGCCGCCGCCGUGGCAAGGGGCUCCAGUGGGGGGCAAACGUUUGCCGAUGGGCCUUUGGGGGACGAUGGAACCACCAGGAGCACCAGCAUGGCCGCCACCACCAACCACGCGGCUGCCGGCAACGUGGCUGCCAACAUGGCUGCCAAGCCUGGCGUCGUCACCGACGCCAUCGUGGCUGCCAACAAUAUGGCCGCCACCAACAUGGCUGCCAGCCCCAUGGUCAUCACCAACGCUAGCAUGGCUGCCAACCCCGUGACUGCCACCAACAUGGCCGCCAACCCUAGAAUCAUCGCCAACACCAAUAUGGCCGCCAACCCCAUGGUCAUCGCCAACACCAUCAUGGCUGCCAGCAACAUGGCUGCCAGCAACAUGGCCGCCAACCCCAUGGUCAUCACCAACACCAUCAUGGCUGCCGGCAACAUGGCCGCCAACCCUAGGGUCAUCACCAACACCAUCAUGGCUGCCAGCAACAUGGCUGCCACCAACAUGGCCGCCAACCCCAUGGCCACCCCCAACACCAUCAUGGCCACCACCACCAACCCCAUGGCUACCCCCAACAUGGCUGCCACCAAGAUGGCCACCACCGCCAACGCCAUGGCUGCCAACAACAUGGCGGCCGCCAACAUGGCCGCCAUCCCCAUGGCCACCACCAACCCCACGACCACCCCCAAGACCACCAUGACCGCCAUGAUGGCCACCACCACCACGAUGGCGACCAGCACCACCAUGAUGGCGACCACCACCACCUCCAUCCCCACCACCUCCACCAUCACGACCACCAUGAUGGCAACCAUCACCACCAUGAUUGCAACCACCAUCACUUCCAUCUCGACCACCACGAUGACCACCACGAUGGCCACCAUGAUGGCCACCAUCAUCUCCAUCCUCACCACCAUGAUGGCCACCAUCAUCUCCAUCCUCACCACCAUGAUGGCCACCAUCAUCUCCCUCCCCACCACCAUGACGGCCGCCAUCAUCAUCUCCAUCACCUCCAUCCCCACCACCACGAUGGCCACCACGACGUCCACCAUCAUCGCCUCCAUCUCCAUCCCCACCACCUCCACCGCAGUGACGACCGCCAUGACGGCCACCACCACCACCACCUCCGUCCCCACCGCCCCCACCACCCCAAUGACCCCCACCCCCCCGACCCCCCUCCCCAUUUCCACCUUCCACCAUCCUCAUCACCUCCCUGGUCACCACCUCCACGGCCCCGACGCAACCCAAAGCCGGCCGCAGCGCCGCCCGGUGGCACAAAUUAGCAAUGGCGGCUAAGGCCGGACGCCGGCGAUCUCGUUCAGGAGAUUCUGCUAAUUGAGUGAGGGUCCGAAGGGCCGGGAUGGCGUCGUCCAAAGAUGAACUCGGGGGUUCCGUCAGGUGCCGCAGGGCUCGGGUGACCGAAGUGCAAGCCGGGUGGGUCGGGGGUAAAGUGGCCAAACGGGAAGCCACGGCACGGAGAGCGCCGGCGCGGCAAAGGGAGGCACGGGAGGAUGGAGAGGAAGCCAGGAUGCGGAGAGCGCGGGAGGAGCUGUGCAGGCACUCCGGGGUGGUGCAGGUGGAGGUGAGAGACACCAGGAGGGGAACGGCACCUGGAAGGGGGGGAGAGAAAGGGGGGGCUAGAACCUGUGGUGGUGGAGAAUCCAUUAGGG
rnacentral:lncRNA from 1 species